AUAGAGACUCAGAGCUGCAUAUCAAUAAGCGGAGGAAAAGAAACUAACAAGGAUUCCCCUAGUAACGGCGAGUGAAGCGGGAAGAGCUCAAAUUUGAAAUCUUCAAGGGUUUCCCUUGACGAAUUGUAGUUUAAAGAAGUGUUUUCUGUUAGAGAGGUGGUAAAAGUUCUUUGGAAUAGGACAUCAUAGAGGGUGAGAAUCCCGUAUUUGAUCACUUUCUACUAACGUUGUGAUACACUUUCAAAGAGUCGGAUUGUUUGGGGAAUGCAGUCCAAAAUGGGUGGUAAAUUUCAUCUAAAGCUAAAUAUUGGCGAGAGACCGAUAGCGAACAAGUACCGUGAGGGAAAGAUGAAAAGAACUUUGAAAAGAGAGUUAAACAGUACGUGAAAUUGUCAAAAGGGAAGCGUUUGACACCAGUGUUGUUUUUCCGAAAAUCAAUUAAGAAUGGCCGGAUUUUAAGUUUCAUGACCUUAAAAGCUUGUUCCUUAUUUUUCAUGUCUUUCUUAAUGCACUUUUCGGUUAACAAGUCAACAUCAAUUUCUUUUGUUGUAAAAGGUUAAGAGGAAGGUGGCUUUACUUUCGGGUAAAGUGUUUAUAGCCUUUUAACUCUGCAAUCGGAGAGAUUGAGGUCUGCAGCGUAGAUCCUUCGGGGUUAGAUACGUUUGUGCUAAGUUAUAGCUUUUCAUAGACAACUUGUUGACUAUGUUUAGUCUUGUAGCUUACUCGCAUGACGCUAUUUUACCUACGCUUAGGAUGUUGAUAGUCACAGCGUGUAC
rnacentral:rRNA from 1 species